rnacentral:rRNA from 1 species
UACGUAGGGGCCUAGCGUUGUCCGGAAUUAUUGGGCGUAAAGAGCUCGUAGGCGGUUCGGCAAGUCGGAUGUGAAAUCUCCACGCUUAACGUGGAGGGGCCAUUCGAAACUGCCGUGACUCGAGUCCGGUAGGGGAGUGUGGAAUUCCCGGUGUAGCGGUGAAAUGCGCAGAUAUCAGGAGGAACACCGGUGGCGAAGGCGGGUCUCUGGGCCGAUACUGACGCUGAGGAGCGAAAGCGUGGGGAGCGAACAGG